AUGGUACUCCCUCCGUUCCAUAAUUCUUGUCGAAAUGUUACAUGUAUCUAGACGCUUUUUAGGAAUAGAUACAUCCAUUUUUGGACAAAUUUGAGACAAGAAUUAUGGAACGGAGGGAGUAGAAG
rnacentral:pre_miRNA from 1 species